rnacentral:rRNA from 1 species
UUGGAGGGCAAGUCUGGUGCCAGCAGCCGCGGUAAUUCCAGCUCCAAUAGCGUAUAUUAAAGUUGUUGAGGUUAAAAAGCUCGUAGUUGAACCUUGGGCCUAGCCGGCCGGUCCGCCUCACCGCGUGCACUGGCUCGGUUGGGCCUUUCCUUCUGGAGAACCCCAUGCCCUUCACUGGGUGUGGUGGGGAACCAGGACUUUUACUCUGAACAAAUUAGAUCGCUUAAAGAAGGCCUAUGCUCGAAUAUAUUAGCAUGGAAUAAUAGAAUAGGACGUGUGGUUCUAUUUUGUUGGUUUCUAGGACCGCCGUAAUGAUUAAUAGGGACAGUCGGGGGCAUCAGUAUUCAAUUGUCAGAGGUGAAAUUCUUGGAUUUAUUGAAGACUAACUACUGCGAAAGCAUUUGCCAAGGAUGUUUUCAUUAAUCAGGAACGAAAGUUAGGGGAUCGAAGACGAUCAGAUACCGUCGUAGUCUUAACCAUAAACUAUGCCGAUUAGGGAUCGGACGGUGUUAUUUUUUGACCCGUUCGGCGCCUUACGGGAAAC